AUGUUUGAUUGCAAAAUAAAAAUAAAAAUAAUGUAAUAUAAUAUAAGUAGUAAUGCUUGAAGUGAUUGCUUGUUUAGUAUUAGUGAUAGUUAGAUGAUGAUGAUAAUGUGAGUUAGUUAUGAUAAUAGUAGCUAGGUGAUGACAGUGACUGAAUUGUAAUAGUAGUGGUCAAGUGGUGGUAACGAUGAUAAUAGUAAGGUGGGCAUAGUAGUGAUAGCCGGAUAGUGGUUGUGAUGAUAAUAUUAACAAUAAAUGAAUAAAAUCAAAAUAAAUAAUCACAAUUAUAUUUAUUUUUAUAUAUA
rnacentral:misc_RNA from 1 species